UUUACGAAGUAACUGCCGAAGACAGUAGGUGCCGUAAGGCAUAAGGGUCAAAACGCCUACCGAGGAAGACAAGAUUCAUUAGAUUUGAAUUUGUAAACCUCUGUGCUUUGGCGCGGAGGUUUUUU
rnacentral:sRNA from 1 species